rnacentral:rRNA from 1 species
UCACUUAGCGGCGGACGGGUGAGUAAUGCUUAGGAAUCUGCCUAUUAGUGGGGGACAACAUCUCGAAAGGGAUGCUAAUACCGCAUACGUCCUACGGGAGAAAGCAGGGGAUCACUUGUGACCUUGCGCUAAUAGAUGAGCCUAAGUCGGAUUAGCUAGUUGGUGGGGUAAAGGCCUACCAAGGCGACGAUCUGUAGCGGGUCUGAGAGGAUGAUCCGCCACACUGGGACUGAGACACGGCCCAGACUCCUACGGGAGGCAGCAGUGGGGAAUAUUGGACAAUGGGGGGAACCCUGAUCCAGCCAUGCCGCGUGUGUGAAGAAGGCCUUAUGGUUGUAAAGCACUUUAAGCGAGGAGGAGGCUCUUUUGGUUAAUACCCAAGAUGAGUGGACGUUACUCGCAGAAUAAGCACCGGCUAACUCUGUGCCAGCAGCCGCGGUAAUACAGAGGGUGCAAGCGUUAAUCGGAUUUACUGGGCGUAAAGCGCGCGUAGGCGGCCAAUUAAGUCAAAUGUGAAAUCCCCGAGCUUAACUUGGGAAUUGCAUUCGAUACUGGUUGGCUAGAGUGUGGGAGAGGAUGGUAGAAUUCCAGGUGUAGCGGUGAAAUGCGUAGAGAUCUGGAGGAAUACCGAUGGCGAAGGCAGCCAUCUGGCCUAACACUGACGCUGAGGUGCGAAAGCAUGGGGAGCAAACAGGAUUAGAUACCCUGGUAGUCCAUGCCGUAAACGAUGUCUACUAGCCGUUGGGGCCUUUGAGGCUUUAGUGGCGCAGCUAACGCGAUAAGUAGACCGCCUGGGGAGUACGGUCGCAAGACUAAAACUCAAAUGAAUUGACGGGGGCCCGCACAAGCGGUGGAGCAUGUGGUUUAAUUCGAUGCAACGCGAAGAACCUUACCUGGCCUUGACAUAGUAGAAACUUUCCAGAGAUGGAUUGGUGCCUUCGGGAAUCUACAUACAGGUGCUGCAUGGCUGUCGUCAGCUCGUGUCGUGAGAUGUUGGGUUAAGUCCCGCAACGAGCGCAACCCUUUUCCUUACUUGCCAGCAUUUCGGAUGGGAACUUUAAGGAUACUGCCAGUGACAAACUGGAGGAAGGCGGGGACGACGUCAAGUCAUCAUGGCCCUUACGGCCAGGGCUACACACGUGCUACAAUGGUCGGUACAAAGGGUUGCUACCUAGCGAUAGGAUGCUAAUCUCAAAAAGCCGAUCGUAGUCCGGAUUGGAGUCUGCAACUCGACUCCAUGAAGUCGGAAUCGCUAGUAAUUCGC